UCUACGACGCACGCAUUAGUUUUCGCAGUGAAUUCAAAGUAGAUAUUAUUGCGUCUCUCGAGAAUUAACACAGACUGAACGAUUUACAGAUGUGUACAGUACAGAUGUGUGGUCAGCUCGUGAUGAUACAUCGGCAGAUGCAUCCGCAGACGCGUCUGUCGAUGUGUAGAGGAUGCAUAAGAUAAGAAACAGGGGCCAUUCUUUCUCCUGACAUUGUCAAUAAUGUAGCCCUUAAAUAAUUAUUUUAAACCGUUUGUUUUUUGUCUGGUGUAUUCCAGGAUGCGCUGGAUAGCUUCAUUUUUGAAAAUGUCCCUGAAGAUGCUCUGAGGACAAAAUACUUAUGUAAGAUUUAAUAAAAUAAAUAACUGCUCGA